rnacentral:lncRNA from 1 species
AAUCUCUCCUCAACACAUGGCCAUCUGUCAUCUACCUCCAAUGUUCCAGAAAGCCAGCUCUCACGAAGGUUACCAGCCACCCAGCCCACUGGUGUUCAGAUGCAGAAUGAACGUAAGAAUGAUGAAGUGGAUGGGCAGAUUUCCAAGGCAGCUGGAAGUAAAUUGGACAACUGCAUGACCCAAAGAUGUAAAGCCAAAAUUUCACAUUCAAAGCAAGUCAGGAGGAGCUGGCUCCCCUUCACCUUUUGCCAUGAGUGGAAACUUCUGAGAUCUUCACCAGAAGACAACCACAGUUUGGUGUCAUGCUUCUUGUAUAGUCUGCAAAACAAUGAGCU